AGAAUCAACGCUGGCGGCGUGCCUAACACAUGCAAGUCGAACGAGAAAGGGUAGCAAUACCUGAGUAAAGUGGCGCACGGGUGAGUAACACGUGACUAACCUACCCUGGAGUGGGGGAUAACUGAGGGAAACCUUAGCUAAUACCGCAUAAUACCUACGGGUCAAAGGAGCGAAUUCGCUUCAGGAGGGGGUAGCGGCCGAUUAGGUUAGUUGGCGGGGUAAUGGCCCACCAAGACGAUGAUCGGUA
rnacentral:rRNA from 1 species